GCCGGAAUAGCUCAGUCGGUAGAGCAACUGAUUCGUAAUCAGUAGGUCGCAGGUUCGAUUCCUGUUUCCGGCACCA
rnacentral:tRNA from 1 species